GAUGAACGCUGGCGGCGUGCCUAAUACAUGCAAGUCGAGCGAACGGACGAGAAGCUUGCUUCUCUGAUGUUAGCGGCGGACGGGUGAGUAACACGUGGAUAACCUACCUAUAAGACUGGGAUAACUUCGGGAAACCGGAGCUAAUACCGGAUAAUAUUUUGAACCGCAUGGUUCAAAAGUGAAAGACGGUCUUGCUGUCACUUAUAGAUGGAUCCGCGCUGCAUUAGCUAGUUGGUAAGGUAACGGCUUACCAAGGCAACGAUGCAUAGCCGACCUGAGAGGGUGAUCGGCCACACUGGAACUGAGACACGGUCCAGACUCCUACGGGAGGCAGCAGUAGGGAAUCUUCCGCAAAGGGCGAAAGCCUGACGGAGCAACGCCGCGUGAGUGAUGAAGGUCUUCGGAUCGUAAAACUCUGUUAUUAGGGAAGAACAUAUGUGUAAGUAGCUGUGCACAUCUUGACGGUACCUAAUCAGAAAGCCACGGCUAACUACGUG
rnacentral:rRNA from 1 species